GAUGAACGCUAGCGGCAGGCUUAAUACAUGCAAGUUGAGGGGCAGCAGGUCUGUAGCAAUACAGAUGCUGGCGACCGGCAAACGGGUGCGGAACACGUACUGAACCUUCCUUUAAGUGGGGAAUAGCCCAGGGAAACUUGGAUUAAUACCCCGUAAUAUAAUGAGGUGGCAUCACCUUAUUAUUAUAGCUCCGGCGCUUGAAGAUGGCAGUGCGGCUGAUUAGGUAGUUGGCGGGGUAACGGCCCACCAAGCCUGCGAUCAGUAACUGGUGUGAGGGCACGACCAGUCACACGGGCACUGAGACACGAGCCCGACUCCUACGGGAGGCAGCAGUAAGGAAUUUUGGACAAUGGGGGCAACCCUGAUCCAGCCAUGCCGCGUGAGUGAAGAAGGCCUUCGGGUUGUAAAGCUCUUUCGGCCGGGAAGAAAUCGCACGGGCUAAUACCCUGUGUGGAUGACGGUACCGGAAUAAGAAGCACCGGCUAACUACGUGCCAGCAGCCGCAGUAACAC
rnacentral:rRNA from 1 species